UACGGAGGGUGCAAGCGUUAUCCGGAUUUACUGGGUUUAAAGGGUGUGUAGGCGGCUUUUUAAGUCAGUGGUGAAAUCUCCGGGCUCAACCCGGAAACUGCCAUUGAUUCUAUUAGUCUUGAAUUCUGUUGAGGUGGGCGGAAUACAUCAUGUAGCGGUGAAAUGCUUAGAUAUGAGAUAGAACACCGAUUGCGAAGGCAGCUCACUAAGCAGGCAUUGACGCUGAGGCACGAAAGCGUGGGGAUCAAACAGG
rnacentral:rRNA from 1 species